rnacentral:miRNA from 8 species
GCGCGCGCCCGACGUGCAAAAC